CAAUCCAUAAGAACCUUGAGACACUUCAAUCUAACCAUUCAAUUAGCCUCAAAAUCUUCAUACACACUAACAACUCGAAUACCAACAUAUUGCCCAAAAUUCACCCAUAUACAUACUACAAAAGUCAAGAAACUUUCAAUUUUGUAAACAUAAUUUUAUUUUUCAAAAUCUAAUCCAGCUAAAAACAUGAAUAAUUUUGAAAACCUUCCAAAAACUGAAUAUUAACUUGAUUGAUAUAAAACCAAUGCUAAAAAAUCUCUUUGCUAGUCUACUCUCAAAUUCCACUCUUUGAUUUGCCAAAGAAUCCUAGAGUUGCUGUAGAUACACUAUUUUGUGCCUCAAGAUCUGAUUUGAAUCUAAGUUGACAACUUGUCCUCUUUAGAUAUCAAUAUUUGGUAAAUUGAAAGAUAUAGAAUUGAGUUAUUAUUGACCAUCUCCUCU
rnacentral:lncRNA from 1 species